UACGUAGGGUGCAAGCGUUGUCCGGAAUUAUUGGGCGUAAAGAGCUCGUAGGCGGUCUGUCGUGUCGGCUGUGAAAACCCGGAGCUCAACUCCGGGCCUGCAGUCGAUACGGGCAGACUGGAGUUCGGCAGGGGAGACUGGAAUUCCUGGUGUAGCGGUGAAAUGCGCAGAUAUCAGGAGGAACACCGGUGGCGAAGGCGGGUCUCUGGGCCGAUACUGACGCUGAGGAGCGAAAGCGUGGGGAGCGAACAGG
rnacentral:rRNA from 1 species